GACGAACGCUGGCGGCGUGCUUAACACAUGCAAGUCGAACGGUAAGGCCCUUCGGGGUACACGAGUGGCGAACGGGUGAGUAACACGUGGGUGAUCUGCCCUGCACUUCGGGAUAAGCCUGGGAAACUGGGUCUAAUACCGGAUAGGACUCCGGACUGCAUGGUCUGGGGUGGAAAGCUUUUGCGGUGUGGGAUGGGCCCGCGGCCUAUCAGCUUGUUGGUGGGGUGAUGGCCUACCAAGGCGACGACGGGUAGCCGGCCUGGGAGGGUGACCGGCACCACUGGGACUGAGAUACGGCCCAGACUCCUACGGGAGGCAGCAGUGGGGAAUAUUGCACAAUGGGCGCAAGCCUGAUGCAGCGACGCCGCGUGAGGGAUGACGGCCUUCGGGUUGUAAACCUCUUUCAGCAUCGACGAAGCGAAAGUGACGGUAGGUGCAGAAGAAGGACCAGCCAACUACGUGCCAGCAGCCGCCGUAA
rnacentral:rRNA from 1 species